UCUAAGAAUGUCAUACCCUAUUUAAUAACAAUAGAAACGAUUGUCAGCUUUCCAAUAUUUAAACCUGUUAAAAAGAGGCGAAAUAUACAAAAAGGGACAUUCAAAUUCACAAGUCGAAAACUAGCUUAUAUCCUGUUUACUUGAAAUGAAUGGCAUCCCGAUACUACACACUUGGCGUGAAGUCUGAUAGAAAUCAAUGUUAACUUCAAAGAUCAUAUCACGGAUUUGUAUCGAAGGUAACAGAAUUCAAUAGACUUGCUCAGUUUCUUCUGACGACAUUGAAGAGAAGUGGUGCAAAAGGAAACAAGAAUUACGUGAAUGUCAGCAAGAGUGAACUUCAACGUAUGUUAACAAUUCUGAACUCAAUCGUCACAGAUUCUGGAACAUAUUAUUUUCAAAGUUAGAAAGGUGCUAAUGGAGAUUCCAGUAGCAGUUAAAGCAAUGUUUACUUCAAAGAGCAAACCACGGAUUUAUAUCGAAGGUACCACGUUUCAGUUGAGGUGCACAGUUUAUUCUGAUAACAUUGAAGUGAAGUGGUACAAAGGGAAUCAAGAAUUAUAUGAUUGUCAGAAUAUAUUCAUAACCAAGAGUGGAAAUCAACGUUUUUUAACAAUUCUAAAACUCAACCGUCACAGAUUCCGGAACAUAAUAUGUUAAAGCUGAAAAGGUGCAAAUAGACAUCCAAGUAACAGUAAAAGGAAUACCAGAUGUGAUAAAACAGAUGUCGCUAAAUGACAAAGAAAAUGUUAAUAAGGCAUAAAAGCGUGGUACAACUAAACGAUAUAUCAUAAGAGUAAUGGUCGUGGGAGAAAAUUCAACUGGAAAGACUUGCCUAUGUAGACGAUUGAUGAAUAAAGAGACAAUAGAUGAUGUUGGAAGCAAAAAUGUGAUCAAUAUUGAAAGAAGGCAAUGUCAGAUUGACGUAAAAACGGGUGAAUGGCAUUUUUCUACACCCGUCGAUGAAAACAUUUCCUGUUGGUCUGAUCACAUAGAAAAAUAUGGAGACUGUGGAUUUUGGGAUUUUGCCGGACGAAAAGAAUUCUAUGCAAUACAUCAAACCUUUCUAAGUACAAAUGCUGUCUACCUCUUGGUUAUAGAUAUAUCCAAUUUUUUCCCAAAGAAAACAUACGCGGGCACUGAAAAAGAAUUCGGUAGCAUUGAAGACUACAUCUUCUUUUGGCUCAAGAACAUAAAUUGUUAUAGCACAGACACACGUAUUAUAAUAGUUGCUAAAGGGAUCGACAAAAUUUCAUUGCAUGAAAUUGAAGAAAAAAAGAAAAUGAUUCAAGAAUGUCUGGGUGCAAUUCCUUAUGUCCAGAGAACAAUACAUUGCUUGUCAAAUACGCUUCCAUCUUAUAAAAAGCAAGACUUUGAAAGUCUACGAAGAUAUAUUUACCGGAAUGCACAGGCAUUAACAUAUUGGGGAGUCAAUCUGCCAACGAGAUGGAUAGUUCUUGAAAAAAAAUUUCAAAUACAAAAAAGUAAAAAAAUCAUUUCGUACACUGAAGCUAUAAAUUUAGCAACGUGUUGUUCAUUACCGGAUGUCACAGCUUCAACUUCUGAAUUAGACUCUUUUCUAAGGUAUGAGCACGAUAUUGGUAACAUCGUAUUUUUUUAAGGAUUUGCAAAAAAGCUUUAUUGUGUUAGAUCCUGAAUGGUUGAUUAACGUAUUUCAAUAUUUUGUCAUGCAUCAUUAUAAAAAUGAGUCUUCAGGUCUGACGGAAUGCACAGUAUAAGCGGAAACGAACAAAUUAUGAGAUAACCUGACUGACAAAUCACUAGGAAAAGGUUCGAAUCUGAGAUUGACACAAGAGGAAGAUGUUUUACAAAUAGUGGAAAACUUUGACUUUAUUGUACGACUAAGAAAUAAUUAUGCAAAAGAAUACUUCUUAAUUCCAUGCAUGAUCAAUGCUUCACCACUUUACAACAUAAUCAUAAAGGUGGAAACAAAAGAUUGGAAACGAACCUCAUGGUUUUGCCUGAAAUUCUGUUUUUUACCACCGUCAUAUUUCAAUCAUAUUUUAGUUUUCUUUGUAAAAAACUACAAAGCAUUGACAAAAGAAGAUGAACAGCUGUGCAUAUCUUGCAAUUUUGGACAAUUUCUACUAAAUGAUUCAGGUAGCGAAAUUCUCGUCAUAUGCGCCACAAGAAAUUCCAUUGCUGUACAGGUGAGGUAUCGUAGUAAAACACUCGUUUGUUACAGUUCUGUUAAAAACAAACUGAUUGAUCUUGUUCAUUCAUUGAAUCUAAGAUAUCGUAUAAACAUAACUUAUAACAAACUAUUUAAAUGCUCAGAUGGAGAUUAUUCCAUGAAGGAGGGAAGAAUUGGUUAUGAUAUUGUAUUGCAGAAUAGGUACUUCUGUGAGGCACACAAUGGCGGGCAUGUUAGCAAGGAAGUAUACAACAGCUGGAUGACGGAAAAAGAGGUUAAAGAAGAAAAUACUCGUCGUUUACAUAGAAAGUCUGCGGAGGUGUCAUGUCCAGGUCCAGCUGCUAAUCCUGUACAACUUACAACUUACAACUCCCGUUAGUGCCGUGUGUCGCAUAG